UGUUUGUGAGUGACGAUUUGGUGACGUC
rnacentral:piRNA from 1 species